rnacentral:lncRNA from 1 species
CUUCCUCAGCUCUGGGACUGAUUGUCUUCAAGCUGAGCACACACUGAGCACUGGGCCUGCCUUCUUCCUAACACAGGUUUUUGUAAGCUCCAGACAUUGGAUAAAGCAUUUUGAGGGAUAGGUGAAAACGAAAUCCUGCCCUUUACUCUUGAGAACUCACUCUGCUGUGGGAGGAGAGACAGGCAGCCACCAGGUGCAAUCUCCAACAUGUGCGGGCUUUGGGAAAACACAAUCGGGCAAGUGAAGUUUGUUGCAGACAAGUUCUUCUUCCCCUCUGCCACAACCUCCUCCAAGGUUACAGGGAGAGCACCCUGUCUGUGAAGAAGCAGGUUCUCAUCUGAUACCAAAUCUGCUGGCACCUUGAUCUUGGACUUCCCAGACUCCAGGACUGAAGAUCACAGAUUGACAUCAGCAGGAAAACUUGCCAGGCAGCAGGAGGAUCCAUUUGAAAACUCACGAGAAAAAGGCCCUUGAGGCCUUUUUCCUGGUUAUUGAAGACAUCUUAGGAAACACUUAUGGUGACAAUUAAUCAAGCAAAAAUAGAUCCAGUUUUUCUGAAGAUCAAGCUUAACAUGUGUGCCAUGCUUUAAAAUGUCUUUCCAGGCACUCUCUCCUGCCCACGGAUCUUGCUUGGGAAAGGAAUGGGGCAAGUGGAAAUGGCCAUUUCUUAGAUGAACACAUCAGGGACUUGCUCCAGUCUGAAGUCUAUACAGAGCUAGGCUUUGAAUCCAGUCACGUAACUGUGUGUGUUCAGAGCUUGACGGAUUACCACCAGGCUGGGCCAACAGGGUCGUUUUCAAGUCAGCUAGCCCUAAAAGGGCAAAAAAUUGUUGCAAUGCUCCCAGAUGUAACUCUGACCUGGUAUGGUUCAGGGACGAGGCCACUCACACACACUUGGGCAACUGCUCUUCUCGUGACCAGCCUCUUUCUGUGGGAAUCACUCCAUGGAGCCACCGUCUCUCCCAAGCUACAAUGUUCUACAAUGGUGCAAGUGGGGGAAAAAUUUCAACAAAAUUUUG